rfam:Yersinia pseudotuberculosis IP 32953, complete genome.
UGUGCGUUCAAAUAAUCAACAAACGAAAAAAAUGUGAAGAUAAACCCUUGCCAUUCUGAAGCAGCUCCCUAUAAUGCGCAUCCAUCGACACGGCGCUGUGAGCAACUUCACAGAGUGGCCGGGGAGAGCAGAGAAAAUUAACUGAUUAAGUGGUUGACUCUGUAGCGGGAAAGCGUAUUAUCUGCCUCCCGCGUUACCGUAAGAUUCGCCGCAAGGCAAACGGGUAACGAACGCUCUUUAACAAUUUAUCAGAC